AUCCAGGGUUUCAAACCCUCAGGACAGUAUUUACAAUCAUUACUUACCUCGAACCGGCUAAUCCUCUAGCUCGCGAUGCCUUUGUCUCUCAAAUCGACCUCCGAAUGCCUCGAAUCUAGCCACAAUAAUUCGAUUCAGUUAAUAAAAAUUAUAGGAAUUAAUUCCAUAUGAAAUUCUACAUUUUCCAUUAACACUUACCCCGUUGUUUUCUCUGAAAAUCUCCCGAAAAUCGCCUCUCCCCGAGCUCCAAUUUGGUAAAAAUGGAAAAUGGGGUUCGUCCCAUUUUCCAGAACUUAACAUUCUGUC
rnacentral:lncRNA from 1 species